GCCUGGGUGGCUCAGUCGGUUGAGCGUCCGACUUUGGCUCAGGUCAUGAGCUCACGGUUUGCGGGUUCGAGGCCUGCAUCAGGCU
rnacentral:tRNA from 1 species